AACGGCCGUACCAUGCUGAAUAUACCGGUUCUUGUUAGAUCACCGAAGUUAAGCAUCAUUGGGCGCGGUCAGUACUUGGGUGGGUGACCACUUGGGAACACUGCGUGCCGUU
rnacentral:rRNA from 1 species